rnacentral:lncRNA from 1 species
CAUAGAAAUACCAGGGGCCUCUUGCCCUGCUAUUCUAGGCAUGGCACAUAUGUAAAACAGGAGUCACACGAGGCCCCCCAAGGCAUGCAAAGGCUGAUGGAGAGUCCUGGGAAAGUGAAGGGCUGCUCAAGGUCACGCAGCAGGUUGGUGGCUCAGCUGGGAGUAGAAUUUGAAGAGGAAACUGUGCUGCUGUGGCAGGUCCCCUGCUGAAUUUCUUGAAGACAGGAUUUUUUCCUUUAGACCUAGAGAUUGUUCUGCUUAUUAAACUGCCUCAGCAAGACAGCUUUGUCUUGGGACCUGUCGAGUGGUUUCCCCUUUUCUGCAUAAGGAAUCGAUUGCAUGUGUAUGGAUUGCAUCUGCUAAUUCCUGGUUUGUACUUCAGUGAUGGAUUCCCAAGGCCUGUGCUGUGCUGGUCCUCAAAGGUGAUGGUAUCAUUCUUCUUUACAAUCUAAAUUCAGUAUGCCCUGUAUUGACAAUUGGAAAAAGCUGUGCUAAAAUUAAAAAUGGAGGAAAGGACCUUGGUCUUCACACAGCAGUACUGAAGUUAGAGCUGUUAGUAACAAAUUGAACAAAAUCCAUGCUACCAAGAGAAGAGAGUAUACUCGUUUUGCUUUCUUCAUGAACUGUGGAAGGUUGUCAGCUGCUUCUUUGAAGUUAACUAAUGAUCAUGCAAGCUGUGAAUCUGCAGUGGGAGCCAGGAUCUCCCUGGUGCUGUAGCAGCACACCUUCCACGUGCUGGCUCUCUCCUGUUACCUCGUGUGGUGUUAUUCAGGUCCCUUAUUCAUCUGGAACAGAUCUUGCUGAGGCAGAAAGAGACCGUGGGAGGACAUUUGAGAGGAAAAGGAGUUGUGUGGUUUCCUCAUCACUCUUGCUGUUAAGCUGAAGCUGUGUUUUGCAUCUGGUUCAUACUUAAUGUGUCACUACCACCAUGUGAGAGCAGCACCUCCAUGGUACUUGAUUUGGGUUCUAGAGCCAGCUUGGCAUAGCACAUUGGGUUUUUUCUUUCCUUUUCCCCCCCCUCUUUCUAAGAAUAAACUUCAGGCUGGGAAAAG